rnacentral:rRNA from 1 species
CAGUCGCCACGGGAAUACAGAGGGUGCGAGCGUUAAUCGGAUUUACUGGGCGUAAAGCGUGCGUAGGCGGCUUUUUAAGUCGGAUGUGAAAUCCCUGAGCUUAACUUAGGAAUUGCAUUCGAUACUGGGAAGCUAGAGUAUGGGAGAGGAUGGUAGAAUUCCAGGUGUAGCGGUAAAAUGCGUAGAGAUCUGGAGGAAUACCAAUGGCGAAGGCAGCCAUCUGGCCUAAUACUGACGCUGAGGUACGAAAGCAUGGGGAGCAAACAGGAUUAGAGACCCGCGUAGUCCCUGUCUCUUAUAC